CCUACGGGUGGCUGCAGUAAGGAAUAUUGGUCAAUGGAGGAAACUCUGAACCAGCCAUCCCGCGUGAAGGAUGAAGGGGCUCUGCCUUGUAAACUUCUUUUGUCUGGGGCGAAAAAGCUCGAUUUAUCGAGAACUGACGGUACCAGAAGAAUAAGCACCGGCUAACUCCGUGCCAGCAGCCGCGGUAUUACGGAGGGUGCCAGAAUUAUCCGGAAUCACGGGGUUUAAGGGGGCUGAGUAAGUCAGAGGUGAAAGGCUGUGGCUUAACCAUGGAAGUGCCAUUGAUACUGCAGAGCUUGAAUGAGGUUGAGGGUGGCGGAAUGUGACAUGUAGCGGUGAAAUGCUUAGAUAUGUCAUGGAACACCGAUUGCGAAGGCAGCUGACUGGACCUAUAUUGACGCUGAGGCACGAAAGCGUGGGGAGCGAACAGGAUUAGAUACCCCGGUAGUC
rnacentral:rRNA from 1 species